GAUGAAGAACGCAGCGAAAUGCGAUAAGUAAUGUGAAUUGCAGAAUUCAGUGAAUCAUCGAAUCUUUGAACGCACAUUGCGCCCGCCAGUAUUCUGGCGGGCAUGCCUGUUCGAGCGUCAUUUCAACCAUCAAGCUCCCGGGCUUGCGUUGGGGCCCUGCGGCUGCCGCAGGCCCCUAAAACCAGUGGCGGGCUCGCUGUCACACCGAGCGCAGUAGCAUUUCUUCGCUCUGGGCGCGGCGGCGGGCGCUUGCCGUAAAACCUACCACUUUUUAAAGGUUGACCUCGGAUCAGGUAGGAAUACCCGCUGAACUUAAGCAUAUCAAUAAGCGGAGGA
rnacentral:misc_RNA from 1 species